AAAUUAUUGAAAGAAAAGGAACCUGAAGCCUGGGGUGUGAAACCAUAUGAUAUUGAGGAUGUGGAUAGUCACUGCUGAGCUCUAGUGCUGUAGGGCACUGUGCGGGUUGCUGUUAUCAUUUUUCGUCCUCCUCACAGUCCAAAAUCAUUUUCUCUUGUAAUUGUAUCAGAUACAUUGGAUUACUUGUCUCCAAGAUACCUCAACAAAACGCUUCCAGAUUUGGCAAGAUUUGGCAAGGGUAUGAACUGAGGGACUUGUAAUAUUUACAGGUAAAAUAAGGCUCCGCG
rnacentral:misc_RNA from 1 species